rnacentral:rRNA from 1 species
GGCAGGCGGGUGCUAUACAUGCAGUCGAGCGAACAGAUAAGGAGCUUGCUCCUUUGACGUUAGCGGCGGACGGGUGAGUAACACGUGGGUAACCUACCUAUAAGACUGGGAUAACUUCGGGAAACCGGAGCUAAUACCGGAUAACAUUUGGAACCGCAUGGUUCUAAAGUGAAAGAUGGUUUUGCUAUCACUUAUAGAUGGACCCGCGCCGUAUUAGCUAGUUGGUAAGGUAACGGCUUACCAAGGCGACGAUACGUAGCCGACCUGAGAGGGUGAUCGGCCACACUGGAACUGAGACACGGUCCAGACUCCUACGGGAGGCAGCAGUAGGGAAUCUUCCGCAAUGGGCGAAAGCCUGACGGAGCAACGCCGCGUGAGUGAUGAAGGGUUUCGGCUCGUAAAACUCUGUUAUUAGGGAAGAACAAAUGUGUAAGUAACUGUGCACGUCUUGACGGUACCUAAUCAGAAAGCCACGGCUAACUACGUGCCAGCAGCCGCGGUAAUACGUAGGUGGCAAGCGUUAUCCGGAAUUAUUGGGCGUAAAGCGCGCGUAGGCGGUUUCUUAAGUCUGAUGUGAAAGCCCACGGCUCAACCGUGGAGGGUCAUUGGAAACUGGGAAACUUGAGUGCAGAAGAGGAAAGUGGAAUUCCAUGUGUAGCGGUGAAAUGCGCAGAGAUAUGGAGGAACACCAGUGGCGAAGGCGACUUUCUGGUCUGUAACUGACGCUGAUGUGCGAAAGCGUGGGGAUCAAACAGGAUUAGAUACCCUGGUAGUCCACGCCGUAAACGAUGAGUGCUAAG